rnacentral:rRNA from 1 species
UACGAAGGGGGCUAGCGUUGCUCGGAAUCACUGGGCGUAAGGCGCACGUAGGCGGCUUUUUAAGUCAGGGGUGAAAUCCUGGAGCUCAACUCCAGAACUGCCUUUGAUACUGAGAAGCUUGAGUCCGGGAGAGGUGAGUGGAACUGCGAGUGUAGAGGUGAAAUUCGUAGAUAUUCGCAAGAACACCAGUGGCGAAGGCGGCUCACUGGCCCGAUACUGACGCUGAGGUGCGAAAGCGUGGGGAGCAAACAGG